AUCACUGAAUUCUGAUGGGCUACCUGGAACUGGCUUAGGGUGGGAUUACAUACGCCUCCUGCCACAUCGGAUUUCCUUCUAUUUUGUCAGGGGUGGCAUCAUCCAGUGAGUAAAUCUGUUAGUGAUCUCCCUCGCAUAACCUAGGAAUUCUCUCAGGAUCCAUUUUUCCAGUAGUUUUGAGAAAGCGACCAACAACAGCAAAGAGAGUAGUUCUUCCAUUCCAAGAGCAGCCAUCUUGCUUAACUGACAAACUAGAGAGAACUGCAAGGACUCAGUACAUCCCUGGCACAGUCCAUUCUCUCUCACAGCAUAUUGUAUGAGACUGUGUGAGUGCUGCUUCCACGCUACACUAAAAACCCAUGGUCCCUGCAUUAUUUGAGCAACUGACAAGCUUCUGAAGUUCAGGUUCGCGAACGCUGAGAGCAGCACCCAGUGGAUUUGUGGCAGAUGAGGAAACUGAGGCCCAGAGAGGUUAAGUGAUUGCCCUGAAGCCACACAGCUAACCAGAGAAGAUAUAAGUUCCUGCCUUCCUUACUUCCCAUUCUCAUAAGCAAGUUUCCGCAUGAACAAGGUGGCAGGUCUGAGCAAAAUGCUAAAACUGUGGCCCCAUUUUGUUUGUGCACAUGUAUGUGUGUACAUGAGCUAUUGGUGUGACGGGAGUUUGCGGGGAUAUUCUCUCCCUGUUACAUGUUUUCACAUUUCCCACAAGACGGGAAUGAAAAGGAAGGAAGAGCUGAACCAUUCCCUCAGGCAAGUAGAUCUGUGGCAAACAAAGAGUCCACAGCUCGGUCUCCACGGGGGUCAGUCUGACUUCCUUCCCUCAGAAGCAUCCCGGGCUACAUUUUCAUCUUCGCCGUCUUCCAAUCUUGCAUAAUCUAUAAUAAUGUGAUUCCAAAUGCAUUUUAGCAAAUGCAAGAUGGAAUGGGACUCCCCCGGCUGCUCCCGAACAUCUGAUCUAAGAAACCCGUAAGGAGCUGCAGUGAAAAGUUCACUGAUAGAAAAAAACAAACAAACAAACAGACAUUUGCCUGUGUCCCUGGUUAGGGGCAAGGCUUUUCCGGGUUGGUGGCUCUUGGUCAUCUUUGUUGUCCUUAAAAAAGGGAUAACGCUGAGGAGCUGGCGGUUCACCUUUGCUCUUGUGUUUAAUUGCUGCAAAAGCCACUUAUUACCUUGUGUUCUUCCGCAGAGGGCACACUGUCUUUCCCAGCCACCAGGCCUGCUGGUGUUUGGCUUCUCUACCUGCCCCGGAAGCCAUCCCCGUCACCUCCGAGUAAUUCUGGGUCACUUCCAGGGCCAGGUCUGUCUGGCUCCGGUACAGGAAGGCCCUCAUGAAAGGAAGAAGGGCGGAACUGGGAUUUUUUUUUCUUUCUUUGAAUUUUGCAUAAAAUUCCGUCCCCAGCCACCUAAUGAGAAAACAUCCAUCAUCUAUCUUUCCCUGGGAAUGUCGGUGGCCAUUCUGAGCUGGUUUGUGGUCCCGCUCAUCUGUACGCAGGCAGGGCUUGUGAAAUUGCUUUUCCCUCAGAAAAAUAUGUUCAUUUCCACCUUCCUCAGAUGGCCCUCACAAAUGAAAGUGCUUUGUCAUUUUUAAUGCCCAGUGUUCCCUUUUUCCCGCACUGUCUCCAGUCACGAUCCAGCCGAUAAAACCCACAGGUACAUUUAAAACAAAAAACAAAAAACAAAACACACACACACACACACACACACACACACACACACCUCAAAAGCCCAGAGGACUGUCAGAUUCCACUGGUGUCCCCUUGUGGGUUUUCCUGGCACACAGAGCAAAAAUGGCUGCAAGGGGAGGUUCUCUCUCUGUUCCCUGGAAAUCUCCUUGGGCCUUGUGCAGCAUUUGGAUGGACACGCAGCGACAGGGGACGUGCUGAAUUCUAGAUAACAGAUGCCUGCCUUAAAAUGGAGGCACAAAGCCCAGCCCUGUCCCCUUGGCUGGCCGGCUCUGAGCAUCCUGAGAAUUAACAGAGGUACAUGUGCUUUAUAAAAACUGGAAAGUGUACUAAAAAUUCAAAGUUAUUAUUAUUUCUAAAAUGUCUCCAGCCUACGAUUUGUCAUAAACACCUAUCAUUCUGCAUAGAUAAUUGGGUAAUUGUUCCUCAUGCCAGAGGGAACAAACGUCUCUCUUUGAAAUGUGUGUGGAGGCUUACACAUAGAGAGCCCUGUUAUAACGAGGGUCUGACUCCAUAGAGAUUUGUAGAUGCCAAAAGACUAACAAUAACCUCCUCCAAAAAAUAACUGCAUCCAGCUUUUCAUAGGCAAGUUAGUAGGACCACCUGAUUCCAGCAUUUUAAAAGAGUCACCCUCUAUAUGGAAAUGUGGUCAAAAUACUAGUCCAGGAAAGGAACAUGACAGAUUUGUUGGCCAAAACUUAUUUCAAAGCAGAAUCUUUGUAAAAUAUGAUUUUUUUCCCACAUAUCUGCAUUUCAAGACUGGGUUAUCUUUGUUUCUUUGUGAUUGUUAUUUAAAUACAUAUUAGUUUUAACUUUUCCUACCUUUUCUUGAUCACACCAUCCGCUGAGUUAAGGAUCUGUAAACAAAGCUUGAAUUGAGCCAAAAUGAUCUAACUUCCAAAGGGAACCCUUGUUUCCUCAGGUAAACUUGAACGUCUUCAUUGAUGAUAGAGAACCUUGCUUCUCAAAUAACCUAGCAUGAAGGGCAACUUGGUAGUUGUUUUUGUUGCUAAUAUCCAAUUCCCCAUGGCCUGAUACUUUUGUAAAAUACAUAACAGUUGAAUUACUAGAAAAAUAAAAUGUCGCUUGAAUGUUGCAGUCAUGUC
rnacentral:lncRNA from 10 species